CAGUUCAGAUUNCAGGCUGCAACUCGCCUGCAUGAAGUCGGAAUUGCUAGUAAUCGCAGAUCAGCAUGCUGCGGUGAAUACGUUCCCGGGCCUUGUACACACCACCCGUCACACCAUGGGAGUCGGUAACACCCGAAGUCGGUAGCCUAACCGUAAGGAGGGCGCCGCCGAAGGUGGGGAUUGAUGACUGGGGGUGAAGUCGUAACAAGGUAAC
rnacentral:rRNA from 1 species